UACGGGGGGGCAAGCGUUGUUCGGAAUUACUGGGCGUAAAGGGCUCGUAGGCGGCCAACUAAGUCAGACGUGAAAUCCCCAGGCUCAACCUGGGAACUGCGUCUGAUACUGGAUGGCUUGAAUCCGGGAGAGGGAUGCAGAAUUCCAGGUGUAGCGGUGAAAUGCGUAGAUAUCUGGAGGAACACCGGUGGCGAAGGCGGGUCUCUGGGCCGAUACUGACGCUGAGGAGCGAAAGCGUGGGGAGCAAACAGG
rnacentral:rRNA from 1 species